UACGUAGGUGGCGAGCGUUGUCCGGAUUUACUGGGCGUAAAGAGCGCGCAGGCGGUCGUACAAGUCGCGUGUGAAAGCCCCUGGCUCAACUGGGGAGGGUCACGCGAUACUGUUCGACUCGAAGGCAGGAGAGGGAAGUGGAAUUCCCGGUGUAGUGGUGAAAUGCGUAGAUAUCGGGAGGAACGCCAGUGGCGAAGGCGACUUCCUGGCCUGUUCUUGACGCUGAGGCGCGAAAGCUAGGGUAGCAAACGGG
rnacentral:rRNA from 1 species